rnacentral:lncRNA from 10 species
GUCUGUCCAGAGGCUCUUGCUCUGAUCUUCCCACAAGUGAGUUCUUCUUAUUCAAGUCAAGGCAGAAGAAGUGAGGCAGAGGCUGUGCUUCUCUUGCUUCUGUUGUUUCUCCUGAAAAGCCCACACCACAUAUUGAGAAAACUAGAAGAGAAUGAACUUGGCCAGAGGAGAAUGAAAUGGCUUGAUAUAGAUGAAGAUGCAGCUGCCAUAAGUGAUGGAAACCACAGUAAUAUGUGAAGAACAGUUGUUCAUGUAUUCUAGAGGAAAAGAAAGGAAUAUCAUUAUAUACUGCUUAUGGGAUUCUGUGCUGCGGAGAUCAUUACGGAAGCAACAGUAGCAGGUGGCCUGGCCAUACAGGGAUUCCUUACUCGCAGCAGAGAAUGUUGCUGCCACUCAAAGUCACCAGGGGCUGAAGAGCUCCUGUGGAGACCCACAUCAUCUAACAACACACAUACUCAAAACAGGGAAAUGUGCAUUUUCGGGAGAGGAAGAGACAAACCUUUUGUUUAGCUAACUGGCAUGACAGAGUGUGACAUACAUGUGCUCCUGGAAGAACGGUGUUGGGUGUCUGCACUCAAAAUCUUGAGCAUAGGCAACUGGAUGAAGGGCUCUGUGGCAUUGAUUUUCAUUGUGUGUGUGUUAAUAUUUACAUUUAUAAUUAAAUAAAUAAUCGAAAUUAUGCUGAACUGAAAAAAGAU